GGUUUAUUUACAUCUUGCACAAAAAUCCAUGCAGCAAUCCAUUUGUUCAAAACUUCAGCAAAACAGAAAGGAAAGUCUACAAACAAAAUCCUAGCUCAAAUUCGAGCACUUACUAAACAUAAAGUAAUGUCCCUUACUAAACCGGGGUAAUAAACUACACAAUUCAACAAAAUAAACAUUGGUUUCACCAACCUUUAGCACUUUGUUUGGUGCUGCUCUGCACAGACCUGCUCUCUCUGCAGAUCAAAUUGUAUCUCCCCCUUUCUGCUCUGAGACCUGCUAAUUAAAGCCUCAGCAGUUGCUAAUUCGGAAGGUGAAUGAGUACAGGCUAUGGAGGUGUCUGGGUCUUAAAUACCUUCCCUCUAUUACCCUCCCAUAGACUCUGUCACAAUACAUAAAAACAUAUAACUUCACAACUACCGAACAUUUCACAUUCGUAUCACAUAUCCCCAGAUAGCCUGGAUCUGAGUGCAUAUUAUUGGCGAAUAGCGCUCAGAUCCCACACACAUAGUUCAAUCGCCAUGGAGUCAAAGUCCUUACAGUCUUUCGGUAUGCGAUUGACUCCAUGGGAAGGCUAUCUGUGUAAAGUCUUUUCGUGUGAUGUAAAACUCCCAAACGGCUGGUGUUCGUAUGCUUUCGUCGGGGCAGCCAGGCGACCUGUUGUUUCAGCGGUGUUCGGCAGAAAAAGUGUCCGUUUUUAGUUCCAUGAAAUCAGUGCCGAACACCGCAGGUCUUUCGUGUGUUUUAAAAUGGCCACUGCCUCGUGGUCGACAUACGAACGACGGCCACCCUGAAUUCGGUUUAAUUGAGAAGUCUCUGCGGUUAACCACACUUCUAUCCUGGGUGGCCAUCCGUUCGGUAGAUUUGUUCGGUAAAAAAGAGUCAUUCGUAUGGCUGGGCUAUAGAAACAACCUUUUACACGAAUGGGAAGAAAUAGACGAAUCCACCACAAUAGACAGACAGAUGGUUCUGUCACAGUAAGAGAGGGGGAUAUCAAAAUGAUAUUUGUAAUCAAAAAUUUUUUUCUAUUUAUUAAUCUACCCCUUUACCCCAACAGACCCACCAUAUACACACACACACACACUGUCCACGAUACGCACACUGCCCCCCUAUGCACACACUACAUCCUUCACACACACACUAUAUCCCUCACAAACACAAUACACCCCGUACAAACACUGCACCCCUCACACACACAUACAUUGCGCCCUUCACAUACACACACACACACACACACCAUAUACAUUGCUCCCCCCCCACACACACCACUGUCCCUGUCCCCUACUACAGCCCCUAUCCCGGCAGACCCCAAGUAAGUUGUCAAACUUAAACAGUUUGACUACUUACCCUGGGAGGGCACCACAGCACUCCUGGCACCAUAACCACCACAGCGUCCUGUAGUAGUUAUUGUGCCUGGAUUAUUUCUUUAAAUAAUCUACCAGUGCCCUUCCUGAGAUUAGGUUCUGGAUCCACCCCUGACAGGGAAACAUUGCCGAACAGGGGCCCAGUAUAUGCCUUGGAAAAAUAUUGAAAUAUUAAGGGAGCCUUGAACCAAAAAAGUUUGAAAACCUCGGGGUUAACUCCUAAAACAGCAGCAUAGGUAAUGGGCGGAGUUUUGCCUAAUUUCAAAGCUUCUUGUAAGUUUUGAUUAAGUCUUGAGAAAUGUGUAGAUUUACCUGUGAAAUGUCUGCAGUCUGUAAUGGGAGCUGGAGACACUGAGCGGCGUUCAAUGAACAUACCAGACGAAAUAAAAAGUGAGAUUAACCCCUUAAGAACGUCCUUGCCAUCCAGGGGACUUACCGGGUCCCCCGCCAAUCCCAC